rnacentral:rRNA from 1 species
UGCAACCCGACUCCGUGAAGCUGGAUUCGCUAGUAAUCGCGCAUCAGCCAUGGCGCGGUGAAUACGUUCCCGGGCCUUGUACACACCGCCCGUCAAGCCAUGGGAGCCGGGGGUGCUUGAAGUGCGUCGCCGCAAGGCGCGCCCUAGAGCAAAACCGGUGACUGGGGCUAAGUCGUAACAAGGUAGC